AUGAGCAGCUUAGCCAAUUGCACCGAGUUACAAAUUUUUUCAAUGAAAUGGAAUCACCUACAAGGAAAUGUACCAAAUUCAUUGGGAAACCUUUCUGACCAGCUCCAACAUCUUUUUCUGGGAACAAAUGAAUUUUCAGGAGGUUUCCCUUCUGGCAUAGAAAAUCUUCGAGGCCUAUUCAGUUUAGGGUUAGAAGAAAAUCAGUUGACAGGUGUUUUUCCAGAAUGGCUUGGAACUCUACACAAUUUACAAGGAAUAGAGCUAGCUAACAACUCCUUUACAGGGGUUAUUCCAUCAUCCCUCACAAACUUAUCUCAGCUGACAGAACUCCUUCUAGAAUCUAACCAUUUAUAUGGAAAUAUACCCCCAAGUUUGGGAAACCUUAAGGUCCUUGAAAAAUUGAGCAUUUCCAACAACAAUCUUCAUGGCAGCAUACCAAAAGAGAUCUUCAGCAUUCCUACAAUAAGUCGAAUUGGGUUAUCUAACAGUAAACUAGAUGGGCCACUUCCUAUAGAAAUAGGAGAUGCCAAGCAACUGUUGUAUCUGCUAAUUUCAUCAAAUAACCUGUCUGGUGUCAUCCCUGAGACACUCGAUGGCUGUGAAAGUUUGGAAGUCAUUGAGUUGGAUCAGAAUUCCCUUAGUGGAAGAAUUCCAACUUCAUUAGGAAUCAUAAGCAACUUGGAAGUGCUUACUGUGUCUCACAACCACUUAUCUGGAUCCAUACCAAAGUCCAUUGCGCCUCUGAAAUUCCUUCAACAACUAGAUCUGUCAUUCAACCGUCUUGAUGGUGAAGUUCCAGAAGAAGGUGUCUUCAAGAACACAACUGCCAUACGCAUCGGCGGAAAUCAUGGGCUCUGCGGUGGAGUCCUAGAGCUAGACCUACCUGCAUGCCAUGUUACAACUUCAAGCCCGUCCACACACACUUGGCCACUAUGUUCCAAAGUGAUGAUUCCACUAGCUAGCAUGGUGCUACUUGCCGGUUUCGUGUCCAUGCUCCUUUUCUGGAGGAAAAAACAAAGGAGAGAAUCGAUGUCUCUACCUUCUUUUGGUAGAAAAUUUCCCAAAGUUUCUUAUGAUGAUAUUGCCAAAGCAACUGAAGGUUUCUCCUUGUCCAGCUUAACCGGCAGUGGAAGAUACAGUUCUGUAUAUAAAGCGAAACUGUUUCGAGAUGAAAAUGUGACUGCGGUGAAAGUCUUUUCUCUCGAGACAAGGGGAGCACAAAAGAGCUUCAUCACAGAAUGCAAUGCUUUGAGGAACGUGCGUCACCGCAAUCUAGUCCAUGUCCUUACUGCAUGCUCUGGCAUUGAUUCUAGAGGAAUCGACUUCAAAGCACUAGUGUAUGAGUUCAUGCCACGAGGAGACUUGCAUAAAUUUCUACACUCGGCUCGGGGUGACGAAAGCUCUUCAAAUUCGAACUGCAUUUCGCUGGCUCAAAGGCUGAGCAUCGUGGCAGAUGUAUCAGAUGCAGUGGCGUACCUUCACCAAGAGGGUAUUGUUCAUUGUGAUCUGAAACCUAGCAACAUUCUCCUAGACGAUGAUAUGGUAGCUCAUGUUGGGGACUUCGGGAUUGCAAGGUUGCCGAUUCAUACCGCAACAUCGUCUUCUGAAUCAACUUCGGCGUCUUCGGUUGCAAUAAAGGGAACCAUAGGAUAUGUUGCUCCAGAAUGUGCAGGGGGCGGUCAGGUUUCGACUGCUUCGGAUGUUUACAGCUUCGGAGUCGUCCUCCUUGAAGUAUUCAUUCGAAGGAGGCCAACGGAUGCCAUGUUCAAGGACGGAUUGAGCAUUGCAAAGUUUGCAGAGAUCAACUUCCCUGAUAAAGUGUUGCAGAUUCUUGACCCUGAACUGCUGCAGGAGCUGAACCUCUGCCGGGAAACUCCGAUGGAUGCUGUCGAGAAAAAUGGAGUGCAGAGUCUCCUUUCUGUGACUAGUAUUGGGCUGUCUUGCACCAGGUCGUCCCCAAGUGAGCGCAUCAGCAUGCAGGAGGUGGCUGCCAAGCUGCAUGGGAUCAGAGAUGAGUAUCUCUUUACAUAA
rnacentral:rRNA from 1 species